GACGAACGCUGGCGGCGUGCUUAACACAUGCAAGUCGUACGGUAAGGCCCUUUCGGGGGUACACGAGUGGCGAACGGGUGAGUAACACGUGAGUAACCUGCCCACAACUUUGGGAUAACGCUAGGAAACUGGUGCUAAUACUGGAUAUGUGCUCCUGCUGCAUGGUGGGGGUUGGAAAGCUCCGGCGGUUGUGGAUGGACUCGCGGCCUAUCAGCUUGUUGGUGGGGUAGUGGCCUACCAAGGCGGCGACGGGUAGCCGGCCUGAGAGGGUGACCGGCCACAUUGGGACUGAGAGACGGCCCAGACUCCGACGGGAGGCAGCAGUGGGGAAUAUUGCACAAUGGGCGCAAGCCUGAUGCAGCAACGCCGCGGGCGGGAUGACGGCCUUCGGGUUGUAAACCGCUUUCAGCAGGGACGAAGCUUUUUGUGACGGUACCUGCAGAAGAAGCACCGGCUAACUACGUG
rnacentral:rRNA from 1 species